rnacentral:rRNA from 1 species
GUCCACGCCGUAAACUAUGGAUACUAGGUGUUCGGGAAGUUAACCUCCUGAGUACUAAAGCUAACGCAUUAAGUAUCCCGCCUGGGGAGUACGGUCGCAAGGCUAAAACUCAAAGGAAUUGACGGGGGCCCGCACAAGCGGUGGAGUAUGUGGUUUAAUUCGAAGCAACGCGCAGAACCUUACCUACCCUUAACAUCCCUUGACGCUAAUAGAGAUAUUAGUUUGGCUUCGGUCACAAGGAGAUAGGUGCUGCAUGGCUGUCGU